rnacentral:rRNA from 1 species
UGUGGCUGGGGGUGAAAGGCCAAUCAAACCGGGAGAUAGCUGGUUCUCCCCGAAAGCUAUUUAGGUAGCGCCUCGUGAACUCAUCUUCGGGGGUAGAGCACUGUUUCGGCUAGGGGGUCAUCCCGACUUACCAACCCGAUGCAAACUGCGAAUACCGAAGAAUGUUAUCACGGGAGACACACGGCGGGUGCUAACGUCCGUCGUGAAGAGGGAAACAACCCAGACCGCCAGCUAAGGUCCCAAAGUCAUGGUUAAGUGGGAAACGAUGUGGGAAGGCCCAGACAGCCAGGAUGUUGGCUUAGAAGCAGCCAUCAUUUAAAGAAAGCGUAAUAGCUCACUGGUCGAGUCGGCCUGCGCGGAAGAUGUAACGGGGCUAAACCAUGCACCGAAGCUGCGGCAGCGACGCUUAUGCGUUGUUGGGUAGGGGAGCGUUCUGUAAGCCGUCGAAGGUGUGCUGUGAGGCAUGCUGGAGGUAUCAGAAGUGCGAAUGCUGACAUAAGUAACGAUAAAGCGGGUGAAAAGCCCGCUCGCCGGAAGACCAAGGGUUCCUGUCCAACGUUAAUCGGGGCAGGGUGAGUCGACCCCUAAGGCGAGGCCGAAAGGCGUAGUCGAUGGGAAACAGGUUAAUAUUCCUGUACUUGGUGUUACUGCGAAGGGGGGACGGAGAAGGCUAUGUUAGCCGGGCGACGGUUGUCCCGGUUUAAGCAUGUAGGCGGAGGUUCCAGGUAAAUCCGGUACCUUUUAACGCUGAGGUGUGAUGACGAGGCACUACGGUGCUGAAGUAACAAAUGCCCUGCUUCCAGGAAAAGCCUCUAAGCAUCAGGUAACACGAAAUCGUACCCCAAACCGACACAGGUGGUCAGGUAGAGAAUACCAAGGCGCUUGAGAGAACUCGGGUGAAGGAACUAGGCAAAAUGGUGCCGUAACUUCGGGAGAAGGCACGCUGACAUGUAGGUGAAGCCCCUGCGGGUGGAGCUGAAGUCAGUCGAAGAUACCAGCUGGCUGCAACUGUUUAUUAAAAACACAGCACUGUGCAAACACGAAAGUGGACGUAUACGGUGUGACGCCUGCCCGGUGCCGGAAGGUUAAUUGAUGGGGUUAUCCUCAGGGAGAAGCUCUUGAUCGAAGCCCCGGUAAACGGCGGCCGUAACUAUAACGGUCCUAAGGUAGCGAAAUUCCUUGUCGGGU